rnacentral:misc_RNA from 2 species
CUGAGUUUUUAACUCUCCAAACCAUGUGAACUUACCACUGUUGCCUCGGUGGUUAGUGCUCUCCUUCGGGGGGGUGCUGCCGCCGGUGGACUACUAAACUCUUGUUAAUUUAUGGCAUUCUGAAUCAUAACUAAGAAAUAAGUUA